GUUGGUUGAAAAUCAUCCGCAGACUUGCCGGUGGCCAUGGGUGAGAUUCAGCGCCAAAGUCAGCGGUCUCUCAUUUACCGCUCACACUUUGGUGUGGGGAAUUGAAACCCAGGCCCGACAUGC